UGCAAAACCUUCCUUGCUAUGGGUAACUCCUGUUGAGCUUCUAAGGAUGCUCCUGGAGGAGGAACGCUUUGACUCAGAAACCCACCAGGCUGUACAAGAUCCCAAGUGGACUCUAAGUGCUUCACUGGGAAGUCCCGAUCUUCCCAGCUACCACAGCUUUAGCUCACACUUGCACAUCAGUCUACAUGUGAGAGUCUGGGGGGCAGAAAGGGCUAAGGAGUGAAGCAGGGCUGCGUGUAGUGAAUAUUCGGAGAUGAAAUCUUGCAGCAGGAUUUGAAAUGGUGCAGCUUGCUUAGGCCUUGAAGAGAGAAGGCUUUUCUGCCUUGUGGUGUGGAAAAGGGAUGAGUGGUCACUAAAGAAGUUCCAGCAGUAAACAGUAAGGUUGGAGAAGACGUGACUGAGAUGCCUCUGCUCAGCCUGCCUGCUCAAUGCUGUUCUGAUAUUUCAGCUUCUUCAGGGAAAGAUUCAGCCUCUUAUCAAGUACAAUAUACCUAGUCUGUGGGUGUGUGUCCAAAUCCAGCAUUCCCCUAUCCUCUGUUGGGAAGAGAGCUGAUGGAGGAAAUCCAUUUUCCUGUGUUGUGUGAAAUACUCAGCGGUAAAAUAGAAAAGGCUCUGCUGGCCUCAGCUGCUAA